rnacentral:tRNA from 1 species
GCCUGGGUGGCUCAGUCGGUUAAGCGUCUGACUUUGGCUCAGGUCAUGAUCGCACGGUUCGUGGGUUCAAGUCCCGCAUCGGUCU